CUCACCUGUUCUUUCCAGGACAAAUCCUCUGCCAGGUUUCUGCCUCAGGACACCCAAGCUCAGCACAGACAGCCUAGCAGCCUGGGUGACAGGAUCCCGGCGGACAGGAUUCUCUCCUUGCCAGAGAGAUGAGGACAAAUUCUCCCUUCAUCCUUGAGAUUGGACUCCCGUCACACAUCCUGGAGGAGCCUACAGAGAAGCCGGCAGGUCUCCCUCACCUGGACAGUGGCAGCCGGUGGCCCGGACCACCCAGAGGCCCUCCCCUGCACCUGAUGGGACAGCCCCUGGGGCAUAAGUCUCCCCUGCCACUUCCACUGUGGCCACUAGAACUGUGGUGGAGAAAAUCGCUAGGACACAAAGAAGUCAAUGAUUUCAACAAACGGAAUUUCUUUGUUCUUUGUAAAAGUCAACACAUGAUCUGUUACUGAUUGGGAUGUGAAAUAAAACUAAAAAUAACAGCACACUGAGCCUGGCUCAGAGCUCAGCUCACCUUUA